rnacentral:lncRNA from 1 species
CAAUGCCAGAUCCUUAACCUACUGUGUCACCAGGGAACUCCAUGAUAGACUCUUGUGCUGUCAGCCCAGGCUCCUAGGAGGGCCACCGUGAACUGCUUAGUGAUGCUGGUCAUACCUCCCACCAGCACAUUCCCAGUGUGCUGAUGGGUCUUCUGGCCUCACUAACAUGUCCACCUUGUAAGCCCACUUCCCUGAGCCUUUUCAUUCUUCCUCUUUGUGCUCAUUUCACCAUUCAGCAUAGACCAUUGCUUUCUCCAGACCUCUGCAAGCCACCCCAGCAGCAAGUUCAUAUUGUUUCCUGGGGUGUUUCCUGUAUCCCAAGAAAAUGACAGAGUAAGAAAAAAAACCCAAAAAAACCUGACACUCUGCUUCAUCCAGACCUAUGUUCCAGGCCCCACUGAUCAACCGCUCGAUCCCAUCUCGCAGUUCCUUUGGUGUUGCAGCCACUUUCUUCUCUUAUCGGGCCCCGUGGAUCCCUGACUGGGUUAUGCUGUGACUCAACCCUGAUGAUGGGCCUACUGUCCAGGAGAGGAAGAAGGAGCCACAUGUUGCCUUUUAAGGGAAAGCCCUCUCUGGAAAGUCCUCCUGCAGAGGAAUGUUCCAGAACCUACUUGAGAGAGGUGAGCCACCCAGCAGGCUCAGAAGGUUCAGAGGAGUAUGGGGAGCAUCCACCCAAAUCUUCCAAUCCCAGGCAUCACAGUCCCAGGUUUUGCCAACUAGGCCCUGCCUUUGGCAUAACAGCCCUGCUGUGGUUGGAUAUUCAAAGGUCUCUGAUAUUCAGUAGCACAGUUAAAUUCCGUGCUUCCUCUCUAGCCUUUCUGCUCUCACCCACAGUAGGAGACCAUUUAUCCAGACUCUUUUCAGUUUUGAUUAUUAACUCUUCUCAGUUUUCAUUUUCUUUCCAUAGGGUUCAAGGAACUUAAAGAUAAUCUUCCAUUUCUGCUGUCUGCAAAUCCCAACGUUUGCUUCAAAACCUUGCAUCAGUGCAUGCCCCCCACCUCCCUGCCAUCCCGGCUCACCUGGUGAAGCAUCUAACAACUGGACCACCAUCUAAGGCCAAGUGCUCUCUGCACACCACUUAUCCCCAGGGGUGGGGGGCUUCGUAACCAGCUGGGUGGUGAGUGAUCCAGUCCCCAGACCUCUGUCUUGUCACUUGUUCUCUCAGGUCAUACUUGGUGCCAACUGUGGAAGCUGAGUUCUCUGAGAAGCUGAUGCUGAAACUGAGUUAGUAAUACAGUAGAUUUUCUAGAGAGUAAGACCUGUGAAAGGAAAAGAGGACAAAUUAUGAUUUGAGUGUCCUAUUGCCUCACUUGGUCAUCGCCUGGGAAGCAAGGUUGCCAGAUCAAAUAGAUGAUGCUUGGUUAAAUUUGCUUUGCAGAUAAAUUUUUUUUAAAAAAAACAUUAGCAUGUCCUGGAGUUCCCUCUGUGGUGCAAUGUGAUUGGUGGCAUCUCUGCAGUGCCAGGACACAGGUUCGAUCCCUGGCCCAGCACAGUGAGUUAAAGGAUCCUGGGUUACAGCAUAGGCUACAGCAGCAGAGCAACUGUGGCUCAGCCCCAGGAACUCCAUAUGCCAUGGGGAAGCCAAAAAACAAAAAAUAAAUAAAAAUAAGCAUGUCCAAUGCAAUAUUUGGGACACACUUCUACUAAAAAAUAUUGUUUGGAGUUCCUGUCAUGGCUCGGUGGUUAACGAACACUAGUAUCUGUGAAGAUGCAGGUUCGAUACAUGGCCUUGCUCAGUGGGUUAAGGAUCUGGCAUUGUCGUGAGCUGCGGUGUAGGUCGCAGACUUGGAUCAGAUCCCACGUUGCUGUGGCUGUGGUGCAGGCCAGCAGCUGUAGCUCCAUUUCAAUCCCUAGCCCGGGAAACUUCAUAUGCCUCAGGUGUAGCCCCCCAAAAAAAUAUAUAUAUAUUGUUUAUCUGAAAGGCAAGUUUAAUUGGGUGUCCUAUGUUUUUAUUUGUUAAUCUGGCCACUCUAGCUGGGGAGGUGUGGUCACCCCAAGAAGUACGUUCUCUCAGCUAUAGCUGAAAGCUGCUGUGAGACUAGUGUGACCUUGACUUGCAAGCUGAGGUAGACAGGAAGAUGCUAAGAGCUGGAGGCUAUGGGCUAACCACACUCUUAGCCUAGGCCUAUGCCAAGGGGGAGGUGCAUGCAGCCAUGUAUAUAUAUACAUAUAUAUAUAUAUAUAUAUUUUUUUUGGUCUUUUUAGGGCUGCACCCACGGCAUAUGGAGGCUCCCAGGCUAGGGGUCAAAUCGGAGCUGUAGCCACUGGCCUCUGCCACAGCUCAUGGCAAUGCCAGAUUUUUAACCCACUGAGCAGGCCAGGGAUUGAACAUGCGUCCUCAUGGUUACUAGUCAGAUUUGUUUCCGCUUAGCCACGACAGGAACU